rnacentral:rRNA from 1 species
CCUACGGGUGGCAGCAGUGGGGAAUAUUGCACAAUGGGGGAAACCCUGAUGCAGCAAAGCCGCGUGAGUGAAGAAGAAUUUCGGUAUGUAAAGCUCUAGCAGCAGGGAAGAAAAUGACAGUACCUGACUAAGAAGCGCAGGCGAACUACGUGCCAGCAGCCGCGGGAAUACGUAGGGGGCAAGCGGUAUCCGGGUUUACUUGGUGGAAAGGGGGUGCAGCCGGGGAGACAAGUCACAUGUGAAAUCCACGGGCUCAACCGGGGAACGGCAUUUGAAACUGUUUCCCUUGAGUGUCGGAGAGGUAAUCGGAAUUCCUUGUGUAGCGGUGAAAUGCGUAGAUAUAAGGAAGAACACCAGUGGCGAAGGCGGAUUACUGGACGCUAACUGACGGUGAGGCGCGAAAGCGUGGGGAGCGAACAGGAUUAGAUACCCGGGUAGUC